rnacentral:rRNA from 1 species
GAAAUAAGAUUUUAAAUGAGUGCUAAGAGAAUGAUUAAACAAUUAAAAGCUUUCUUUAAUUAAAAAAUUAAAUUUAAUUUUUUAGUGCAAAAGCAAAAAUAAAAUUUAGGGACAAGAAGACCCUAUGAAUUUUUAUUGUUAAUAAUUAAAAUUUAAAUUAUUAAUAAUUUAAUUGGGGCGAUAAAAAAAGAAUAAGUAUCUUUUUAGUUAUAAAAUAAGUUCCGUUUUUAGCGAUUAAAUGAAAUAAAUACUCUAGGGAUAACAGCGUAAUAAUUUUGGAUAGUUCAUAUAGAUAAAAUAGUUUGCGACCUCGAUGUUGGAUUAGGAUUCUU